rnacentral:rRNA from 1 species
GGGUUGUGAGGUUAAGCGACUAAGCGUACACGGUGGAUGCCCUGGCAGUCAGAGGCGAUGAAGGACGUGCUAAUCUGCGAAAAGCGUCGGUAAGGUGAUAUGAACCGUUACAGCCGGCGAUGUCCGAAUGGGGAAACCCAGUGCAAUUCGUUGCACUAUCGUUAACUGAAUACAUAGGUUAACGAGGCGAACCGGGGGAACUGAAACAUCUAAGUACCCCGAGGAAAAGAAAUCAACCGAGAUUCCCCCAGUAGCGGCGAGCGAACGGGGAGCAGCCCAGAGUCUGAAUCAGCUUGUGUGUUAGUGGAACGGUCUGGAAAGUCCGACGGUACAGGGUGAUAGUCCCGUACACCAAAAUGCACAGGCUGUGAACUCGAAGAGUAGGGCGGGACACGUGGUAUCCUGUCUGAAUAUGGGGGGACCAUCCUCCAAGGCUAAAUACUCCUGACUGACCGAUAGUGAACCAGUACCGUGAGGGAAAGGCGAAAAGAACCCCGGCGAGGGGAGUGAAAAAGAACCUGAAACCGUGUACGUACAAGCAGUGGGAGCACCUUCGGGUGUGACUGCGUACCUUUUGUAUAAUGGGUCAGCGACUUAUAUUCUGUAGCAAGGUUAACCGUAUAGGGGAGCCGCAGGGAAACCGAGUCUUAACUGGGCGUUAAGUUGCAGGGUAUAGACCCGAAACCCGGUGAUCUAGCCAUGGGCAGGUUGAAGGUUGGGUAACACUAACUGGAGGACCGAACCGACUAAUGUUGAAAAAUUAGCGGAUGACUUGUGGCUGGGGGUGAAAGGCCAAUCAAACCGGGAGAUAGCUGGUUCUCCCCGAAAGCUAUUUAGGUAGCGCCUCGUGAACUCAUCUUCGGGGGUAGAGCACUGUUUCGGCUAGGGGGUCAUCCCGACUUACCAACCCGAUGCAAACUACGAAUACCGAAGAAUGUUAUCACGGGAGACACACGGCGGGUGCUAACGUCCGUCGUGAAGAGGGAAACAACCCAGACCGCCAGCUAAGGUCCCAAAGUCAUGGUUAAGUGGGAAACGAUGUGGGAAGGCACAGACAGCCAGGAUGUUGGCUUAGAAGCAGCCAUCAUUUAAAGAAAGCGUAAUAGCUCACUGGUCGAGUCGGCCUGCGCGGAAGAUGUAACGGGGCUAAACCAUGCACCGAAGCUGCGGCAGCGACACUAUGUGUUGUUGGGUAGGGGAGCGUUCUGUAAGCCUGCGAAGGUGACCUGUGAGGGUUGCUGGAGGUAUCAGAAGUGCGAAUGCUGACAUAAGUAACGAUAAAGCGGGUGAAAAGCCCGCUCGCCGGAAGACCAAGGGUUCCUGUCCAACGUUAAUCGGGGCAGGGUGAGUCGACCCCUAAGGCGAGGCCGAAAGGCGUAGUCGAUGGGAAACAGGUUAAUAUUCCUGUACUUGGUGUUACUGCGAAGGGGGGACGGAGAAGGCUAUGUUAGCCGGGCGACGGUUGUCCCGGUUUAAGCAUGUAGGCUGGUUGUCCAGGCAAAUCCGGAUAAUCAAGGCUGAGGUGUGAUGACGAGGCACUACGGUGCUGAAGUAACAAAUGCCCUGCUUCCAGGAAAAGCCUCUAAGCAUCAGGUAACAUCAAAUCGUACCCCAAACCGACACAGGUGGUCAGGUAGAGAAUACCAAGGCGCUUGAGAGAACUCGGGUGAAGGAACUAGGCAAAAUGGUGCCGUAACUUCGGGAGAAGGCACGCUGGUGUGUAGGUGAAGUCCCUGCGGAUGGAGCUGAGACCAGUCGAAGAUACCAGCUGGCUGCAACUGUUUAUUAAAAACACAGCACUGUGCAAACACGAAAGUGGACGUAUACGGUGUGACGCCUGCCCGGUGCCGGAAGGUUAAUUGAUGGGGUUAUCCGUAAGGAGAAGCUCUUGAUCGAAGCCCCGGUAAACGGCGGCCGUAACUAUAACGGUCCUAAGGUAGCGAAAUUCCUUGUCGGGUAAGUUCCGACCUGCACGAAUGGCGUAAUGAUGGCCAGGCUGUCUCCACCCGAGACUCAGUGAAAUUGAACUCGCUGUGAAGAUGCAGUGUACCCGCGGCAAGACGGAAAGACCCCGUGAACCUUUACUAUAGCUUGACACUGAACAUUGAGCCUUGAUGUGUAGGAUAGGUGGGAGGCUUUGAAGCGUGGACGCCAGUCUGCGUGGAGCCAACCUUGAAAUACCACCCUUUAAUGUUUGAUGUUCUAACGUUGGCCCCUUACCGGGGUUGCGGACAGUGUCUGGUGGGUAGUUUGACUGGGGCGGUCUCCUCCCAAAGCGUAACGGAGGAGCACGAAGGUUAGCUAAUCCUGGUCGGACAUCAGGAGGUUAGUGCAAUGGCAUAAGCUAGCUUGACUGCGAGCGUGACGGCGCGAGCAGGUGCGAAAGCAGGUCAUAGUGAUCCGGUGGUUCUGAAUGGAAGGGCCAUCGCUCAACGGAUAAAAGGUACUCCGGGGAUAACAGGCUGAUACCGCCCAAGAGUUCAUAUCGACGGCGGUGUUUGGCACCUCGAUGUCGGCUCAUCACAUCCUGGGGCUGAAGUAGGUCCCAAGGGUAUGGCUGUUCGCCAUUUAAAGUGGUACGCGAGCUGGGUUUAGAACGUCGUGAGACAGUUCGGUCCCUAUCUGCCGUGGGCGCUGGAGAAUUGAGGGGGGGCUGCUCCUAGUACGAGAGGACCGGAGUGGACGCAUCACUGGUGUUCGGGUUGUCAUGCCAAUGGCACUGCCCGGUAGCUAAAUGCGGAAGAGAUAAGUGCUGAAAGCAUCUAAGCACGAAACUUGCCCCGAGAUGAGUUCUCCCUGAGACUUUAAGUCUCCUGAAGGAACGUUAAAGACGAUGACGUUGAUAGGCCGGGUGUGUAAGCGCAGCGAUGCGUUGAGCUAACCGGUACUAAUGAACCGUGAGGCUUAACCUUACAACGCCGAAG